GAAUCUCUUUAUAAAAAUAUGGGAAGCUCAAUCCACAGAACUAGAACUCACCAAGAAUCUAAGUAAGUUCACUUCUGAUGAAUCCCUUGAUUUUAGGAUUUCAGAUGAUGGAGUUCUUAUUCUGGAACCGAUUUUGGGUCCCCAUUGUUGUAAGGGCAAAUGUUCUCAAGAUCGCCCAUGCUUUCAAGCUAUUCAUCCAUCUCGAAAGUACCAAAAUGUACUGG
rnacentral:lncRNA from 1 species